GCUUAGCCUUAAACAUAGAUAAUAACCUACUUAUUUUAUCCGCCUGGGAACUACGAGCGUUAGCUUAAAACCCAAAGGACUUGGCGGUGCUUUAGAUCCACCUAGAGGAGCCUGUUCUAGAACCGAUAAUCCCCGUUAAACCUCACCUUUCCUUGUCUUUUCCGCCUAUAUACCGCCGUCGUCAGCUUGCUCUGUGAGGAACUCGUAGCGUGCAUAACUGGUAUAACCCAAAACGCCAGGUCGAGGUGUAGCGAAUGGAAGGGGAAGAAAUGGGCUACACUCAGUAAUUAUACUAAAUACGGAUGACAUUCUGAAAAAAUAUCUGAAGGAGGAUUUAGCAGUAAGUAGAGAAUAGAGUGCUCUGCUGAAAUAGGCCCUGAAGCGCGU
rnacentral:rRNA from 1 species